UCUAUUGUUCCCAUCUUUUUGUCCGUGUGCACCCAAUAUUUAGCUCCCACUUAUAAGUGAGAACAUGCAGUAUUUAGUUUUCUGUUUCUGUAUUAUUUCGUCUUGCUGAUUUAAGUUCCUUAUAAAUUCUGGAUAUUAGUCCUUUGUCUGCGGCAUAUUGCAAAUAUUUUCUCCCAUUCUGUAGGUUGUUCAUACAUCUCCAUCAACUCUGUAUUGCUUAUAGUAUGUGGUCCAAACACUUAUCAUACAAUUCAGGUCCUUCAGUCUGGACAUUACCUACCUUUCCAGUGUUAUUUGCCACCCGUCUGGUAUAUGCAGUCCAUUCCAGGGGACAUUAACCUGCACACUGAUCUCCAAAAAGGACAUGCUCUCUGAAGUUUCUGAGUCUCUGCUCACACUAAUCCAUUACCUGGAAUGACCCUCUCUGCUUCCUCGCCUGGGGCAUCUCACUCAUUCUUCAUGAUGCAGCUCAUCUAUCUGUGAUACGUCCCACUAGUUGCCAGGAGCAAUGGACUGCCUAUGCUCUAUGCCCCCAGUUUGCAUCAUAGGACUGGUACAGGUUUUGCAUUUAUUACAUCAGAGCAGUGGUGUAAUGAGUUUUCAUUGUAUAUCUCUAUUAACAAAAGAAAAAGGAGGGUAUACAUUCCCAAUAUAUGUAUAUUUAUUUAUUCUUAAAUUAUAUAUAUUUAUUCUUAUAAGCUAAUAUUCCAAGGCACAAUAUACUUAGUAUGAGGUACAUUGUUCUUGACAGAGAGCUUAUAUAAAGGAGCAGAGUGUCAACCUGGCCAUUUCCUUAUUUUUUGUGCGUGUUCAUAUCACUAAUGUCAUCUUCAUUUUGCAGCUUCUUUGCUGUCGGCUUUAAAGCCGCUUGCCAGUUGUGCCUAAAAACCCAUGUCUUUAGUCAUUGUAGGAUCCUCACCAAGGUGAUCUCUAAAUCAAAAGCCAAAUUGUGUUGGAAAACACAAACUAAACAGUGCCUCCUUUCCCCCAACACUGGGGAGCUGUGAGAAGAGAUGGGAUAGGCCGCUGCCACGUGUGGCCUUGCUCAUCACAUCGCACCUCCUCGUGUCAGAUGGUAAGCCCUGGAUGCCCUCAUCUUAUUCUCAUUGUCUUCACUGUCCAUGUGUUCUCAUCGUUCAGCUCCCACUUAUGAGUGAGAACAUGUGGUGUUUGGUUUUCGGUUCCUGUGUUAGUUUGCUGAGAAUGAUGGUUUCUGAUGGGCAUUUGGGUUGAUCAAUAAUUAUUCUUAAGUGUGAUUAGCCUAACCACUGAAAGUACUCCAAAAAAGACCAAGGGUAGUUGCGGGCCCAUUUCUGUGCCUUUGGCAGGUGAUUGAGUAUAUGGGUGUGUGUGUGUGCAUAUUCCUGCCUCAGUCCUCCAAGUACCUGGGAUUACAGAUUACAGGCAUGUGCCACCACUUCCAGCUAAUUUUUUUGUAUUUAGUCGAGAUGGGGUUUCACCAUAUUGGCCAGCUGGUCUCGAACUCCUGAACUCAGAUGAUCCACCUGCCUCAGCCUCCCAAAGUACUGGGAUUGCAGGUGUGAGCCUCCGCGCCUGACCCUUUCUCCUUCUUAUGUGUAUGAGAUGUUUGCAUUGUCCCUCCUUUUGAAAAAUUGUCACCUUAAACUAUAUUGCCAUAAUAAGUGAAUGUAAAAUUCAAUACUAUCACCCCUCUAUGUUUCUACAUAUAAUUCAACUCAAUUCUUUGUUAAUAACUGAUGAUGAUUUCUACUUUUUCCAGUGAUUUCCACCUACCAUGCCUUUCUGCUGUUCCUCAUCUGUGUAUACUUCUUUCCAUGAACCCA
rnacentral:lncRNA from 10 species